rnacentral:lncRNA from 10 species
UUGGUUAAAUCCUUCUGAUUUAACCCAGUAGAGCUUAACAAAAGGCCUCCUUGAGAGGUGUGGGCAGAGUUAAAGGAACAAACAAGGAACAUGAGACAUCCGGGCACAGGCAAAAGAAGGCGGAUAUUUCCACUGCAGACUUAAGAAGGCAAGGGGAGGCAACAGCAUUUCCGCAGACCAGAGAAACCAGAAGCCAAGAAAGAUGGUUGACUCAACAGGAGCCAUUGCCAUAGACAGGAAUGCAGCCUCUGCGACCAUGACCAGGCAAGGGGAAGAGGGGUAGGAAAUAACAUAUCUAACCUCUCUCCCCAUCCAUUCUCUCAUCUCCUGCCAGUGCUUUUUAUUGGCCAAACCCAACUAGAAGCUGGAGGUCAGGAAGGCCUGGGUCAUGUAGUCUGUAGAUGUCAGCCUUCCUGUAAAAGCAGGUUAGAGAAAGGUUCCAGUGCUGGAUGGAUCGCACAUGGGAGCACCAGACCACGGUGACGUGAUCCUCUGAGUGAAGCUAAGGCAGACACACCCCAGAGAUGGGGAAAACGCCUGGGGACCAGAAAUUCUGUUACUACGGGAGUCACUGGAACUGUUGACAGCAACAGCCAAGCUUUCUUUCUGCAAAGUGCUCCCAGGAAGCCUUUACCAGCCUGGAGAGCUGAGGGGUUUUCAUCACUAAUUAACAUGUUUUCCGCACUGGGGCCAGAAGUCGGACUAGCUAAGAGACACUGGGAGGCAUGAAGGAGAUGGACUGGCAGUUCUGGGCAAGCCUCAGCUUAGAAUUUCACUUUGUGGAACUCAAAGAAAAGCCCAAGCUCCACUGGGGGUUUUCAAGGUCCUUCAUGAUCUGCUGCCUGCCCUGGCUCCCUUCUCCAGGUCACUACCCCAGCACUGCACACUAGCCUUAGCCCAACUAAACUACUGGCAUUCUGUCCUUACACCCUGCAAGCUCCUUAGCAUCUGGGCUUCUUCACAUGCCUUUCCCUCUGCCUGAAAUGCCCUUUUCUUCUUCUCUACAUAAAAAUCUACUUUUUAUGUAAGAACAUUCUCUAACUAUGUUUAGAUUUCUCCAGGAAGGCUCUGCAGAGGAGUUGUCGGGCACUGCUACUUCUAUGCUUCUGUCAUGCUUUGGACUGCCCUCUCAAGCAGCAAAUUAGUAAAUGCCUAAUUGGGGCAUGAUGUACUGCUCCUCCUCAAGACCACUAUCUGCUAAAAAGCAGGGUUGAUGUUACAGUAACCCAUGGUAUUCAUACCUUAGUACUGAGUCUAUGCCAGAAUAAUAGCACAAGGUGCUCAUAGCACAAAAGCUGAUCAUUAUCCUAUUGAACAAUUAUUUCCAGAAAUUUCUUCCUGUUUUGUUUUAUGAAAUCUGGAGGGUGUAACUGAUGGGUUAGUUUUACUUUCUGAAGCAAUACAUAAAGUUGAUAAUUCUCCUAUUGAAUGAUUCUUUUCAGAAAUUUCCUCCCAUUUUCUGAAAUCUGGAGCUUGUAACUGAUGGGUUACAGUUUUGCUUUCUGAAGCCAUACAUAAUAGUUUCUUUUGGUGCCACAUGCCAGCCCUUCAGAUCUUCCAGUACAGUGACCAUGCCUCCAUUAGGCUUACUCUCCACCACAUUCUUUCUUUUAGCCUAAAUUAGGUUUUGUGUAAAACAUCACUUUUGAAUUCAAACAGAUUUGAACUUGGAUAUGAGCUCUGCCACUCCUAGCCCCAGUUUACUCAUCAUCAAAUAGAGGUAAAAAUAUUGACUUUGCAGGAAUAUUGAGAAAGUUAAAUAAAAUAUUGAGUAAAAAAUGGCUAGCAAGAGUCCUGGCAGAUAUUGACAUAUCUGAAAUAUUUAUUUAAUGACUGAAUAAAUGAGUGAACUGGGGGGGUUUGUGUCAUGUAGGUGGAGUCACAUUUUAGACAUCUAACUCUUAUACUAGUUAAGAAUCAAUAAAUAGUAGCUCUAUGACAUAUACUUGCUAAGAUAUUAGGACAGAAUACUGAACAAAUAAGACAUGCAUGGUUUCUGCUUUAAUUGCUCCUGGGGAAGUCACUGAACAAAUAGUGAUAAAGUAAGUAUAAUAAGUGGAAGAAUAAACUUGCAGGUCACAUAGCUGAGUUCAUCUGAGCAGGUCAAUGAAGGGCUUCCUGUGGAAGAUGGUCUUGCAUUAGAAAAUAGAGUACUUAGACAAUUGUUAAUGUAAUAAUUAUUUGCUCUUCAUUCAGUCAUUGUUUGUGUAGUUCUCUUGGGAACACUGUAGAAGAGAGAAGAUAAAUAAAUUGGCUGGGCAAAAAUAUUGAACACUAUAAUAUUAUCAAAAUUAAAAAACACAAAAGCCUCACCCCUAAUCUCUGAAAGUUAACUGAUUGGUAAAUAUGAAGGUAAAUACACUAAUUGGUAAAUACACUGGGUCAGUGGUUCUUAAGUGACUAUAUAUAUAACACAUUUCACAGGAUGAUGCCAAAUUCUUGUCAAUGCAUAAAAUUGAUGUUUAUUAUAACUGGGAUUAUACAUUAUUCCUCCAAUAUCUCUAAGCUGAUAGUUUGAACUCUGGAAAUCAGGAAAUCAUAUGUUCAUGAUGUCCAGUGGAGUGAGUGAAAUUUGUUGUUUGUUCUGUCACCUCUUCUACUCAGUAUUGUACUGCAAGGUUCUAGCCAGUGCAAUAACUCAAGAGGAACAACAAAAAAAAGCAUAAGAAUGGCAAAGGAAUAAAUAAGAUUGUUAUUAUACACAAGUGACAUAAUGGUGUAUGUGGUACAUGUAGAAAAUCUAAAUAUAUGGAUGAAUUAUUAGAAGUGAUGUGAAUCCAGUAAGACCACUAAGUUCAUAA